CGGGGAUCACUAUAUCAGAAUCCUAUAUUUUCCCAAUUCUUCUUCCAUUCACUAAAUUGGUUACCUAAGGAGUUCCAAGGGCAAUUUGAGGAGCAUUUAGAGUUGAAUAUUCAUUAGAAUACGUUGUUGAAUGACUUCGAUCAUUCGGAAGCUCUCCGGAAGAACAAGGCUCAUGUUGGAUAGUUCGUGGCACCCGCUCGGCAUCGAGGAAUACAAAGGAACAUCUGAGGUCGUUGCCGGAUUGUGUAAAAGAGAGAUGAGAAUUCGUGAUCCGAGGUUGUUCCCGGAGUGGAAUGUGUUAUACUCGCUGCCUGAGGUUUCUUGCCUGGACGAAGGUGUACAUGGAUUUCGUGGGUCCCCCAUCAGUCAUGACUAUUGAGAUGUGGAGGUUUCUGUCCGUAGCAUGUGUGUAAAGGUUUGAGAGUUUGCUACAGGAUCCGUAUCAGGCCCUCGUGAAUGAUUCCCGAGGCAGUCCUAUUUGGAGAUUCAGGGUGAGCCACUGCAUGAUCUUCCGCCCGAGUUUCCACUCAUCUCAGUAGUUUUCUAUUGCCUUCUGACAGUUAUUCCUUUAUGUUCAUGAGCCUUGCAUGGCCAUUCAGGCUUGUAGUAUUUAGUAGCUCUUAUACUGUUAUAGACUAGAUUCCCUGGGGAUAACGUAG